rnacentral:rRNA from 1 species
GAUGAACGCUGGCGGCGUGCCUAAUACAUGCAAGUCGAGCGAACGGACGAGAAGCUUGCUUCUCUGAUGUUAGCGGCGGACGGGUGAGUAACACGUGGAUAACCUACCUAUAAGACUGGGAUAACUUCGGGAAACCGGAGCUAAUACCGGAUAAUAUUUUGAACCGCAUGGUUCAAAAGUGAAAGACGGUCUUGCUGUCACUUAUAGAUGGAUCCGCGCUGCAUUAGCUAGUUGGUAAGGUAACGGCUUACCAAGGCAACGAUGCAUAGCCGACCUGAGAGGGUGAUCGGCCACACUGGAACUGAGACACGGUCCAGACUCCUACGGGAGGCAGCAGUAGGGAAUCUUCCGCAAUGGGCGAAAGCCUGACGGAGCAACGCCGCGUGAGUGAUGAAGGUCUUCGGAUCGUAAAACUCUGUUAUUAGGGAAGAACAUAUGUGUAAGUAACUGUGCACAUCUUGACGGUACCUAAUCAGAAAGCCACGGCUAACUACGUGCCAGCAGCCGCGGUAAUACGUAGGUGGCAAGCGUUAUCCGGAAUUAUUGGGCGUAAAGCGCGCGUAGGCGGUUUUUUAAGUCUGAUGUGAAAGCCCACGGCUCAACCGUGGAGGGUCAUUGGAAACUGGAAAACUUGAGUGCAGAAGAGGAAAGUGGAAUUCCAUGUGUAGCGGUGAAAUGUGCAGAGAUAUGGAGGAACACCAGUGGCGAAGGCGACUUUCUGGUCUGUAACUGACGCUGAUGUGCGAAAGCGUGGGGAUCAAACAGGAUUAGAUACCCUGGUAGUCCACGCCGUAAACGAUGAGUGCUAAGUGUUAGGGGGUUUCCGCCCCUUAGUGCUGCAGCUAACGCAUUAAGCACUCCGCCUGGGGAGUACGACCGCAAGGUUGAAACUCAAAGGAAUUGACGGGGACCCGCACAAGCGGUGGAGCAUGUGGUUUAAUUCGAAGCAACGCGAAGAACCUUACCAAAUCUUGACAUCCUUUGACAACUCUAGAGAUAGAGCUUUCCCCUUCGGGGGACAAAGUGACAGGUGGUGCAUGGUUGUCGUCAGCUCGUGUCGUGAGAUGUUGGGUUAAGUCCCGCAACGAGCGCAACCCUUAAGCUUAGUUGCCAUCAUUAAGUUGGGCACUCUAAGUUGACUGCCGGUGACAAACCGGAGGAAGGUGGGGAUGACGUCAAAUCAUCAUGCCCCUUAUGAUUUGGGCUACACACGUGCUACAAUGGACAAUACAAAGGGCAGCGAAACCGCGAGGUCAAGCAAAUCCCAUAAAGUUGUUCUCAGUUCGGAUUGUAGUCUGCAACUCGACUACAUGAAGCUGGAAUCGCUAGUAAUCGUAGAUCAGCAUGCUACGGUGAAUACGUUCCCGGGUCU